AGUUACUGGGAUAGCCCGAGGAAACUCGGAUUAAUACCGGAUAUUCUUAUUUAAUCACAUGAUUUUUUAAGGAAAGGUCAGCCGAACUAAGAUGGGCUCGCGUUCUAUCAGCUAGUUGGUAGGGUAACGGCCUACCAAGGCUACGACGGAUAGCUGGUCUGAGAGGACGAUCAGCCACACUGGGACUGAGACACGGCCCAGACUCCUACGGGAGGCUGCAGCAGGGAAUAUUGUGCAAUGAACGAAAGUUUGACACAGCGACACCGCGUGUGGGAUGACGGAUCUAGGUUUGUAAACCACUUUCAGGAGGGAAGAAAAUGACGGUACCUCCACAAGAAGCCCCGGCCAACUACGUGCCAGCAGCCGCGGUAAUACGUAGGGGGCGAGCGUUGUCCGGAUUUAUUGGGCGUAAAGAGCUCGUAGGCGGUUCAACAAGUCGGUCGUGAAAGUUCAGGGCUUAACCCUGAAAUGUCGAUCGAUACUGUUGUGACUAGGAUAUGGUAGAGGUGAGUGGAAUUCCGAGUGUAGCGGUGAAAUGCGUAGAUAUUCGGAGGAACACCAAUAGCGAAGGCAGCUCACUGGACCGUGAUCGACGCUGAGGAGCGAAAGCUAGGGGAGCAAACAGGAUUAGAUACCCUGGUAGUCCUAGCUGUAAACGAUGGAUACUAGAUGUAGGAAUUGGAUUGACGAUUUCUGUAUCGUAGCUAACGCGUUAAGUAUCCCGCCUGGGGAGUACGGUCGCAAGACUAAAACUCAAAGGAAUUGACGGGACCCCGCACAAGCGGCGGAGCAUGCGGCUUAAUUCGAUGAUACCCGUAGAACCUUACCUGGACUAGACAUAUAGGGAAAAGCUAUAGAAAUAUAGUGUGCGUAAGCGCCCUAUACAGGUGGUGCAUGGCUGUCGUCAGCUCGUGUCGUGAGAUGUU
rnacentral:rRNA from 1 species